rnacentral:rRNA from 1 species
GAUGAACGCUAGCUACAGGCUUAACACAUGCAAGUCGUGGGGCAGCGGAUGCUUAGCUUGCUAAGUAUGCCGGCGACCGGCGCACGGGUGAGUAACGCGUACCGAACCUGCCCAUCACACAGGGAUAGGCUUGCGAAAGCAAGAUUAAUACCUGAUGGUCUCAGUUGUAUGCAUGUAUAAUUGAGUAAAGCCUUCGGGCGGUGAUGGAUGGCGGUGCGUCCCAUUAGGAAGUUGGCGGGGUAACGGCCCACCAAUCCUUCGAUGGGUAGGGGUUCUGAGAGGAAGGUCCCCCACAUUGGAACUGAGAUACGGUCCAAACUCCUACGGGAGGCAGCAGUGAGGAAUAUUGGUCAAUGGGCGAGAGCCUGAACCAGCCAAGUAGCGUGCGGGAUGAAGGCCCUUGUGGUCGUAAACCGCUUUUAUCAGUGAAUAAAGUGCACCACGUGUGGUGUCAUUGCAGGUAGCUGAAGAAAAAGGACCGGCUAAUUCCGUGCCAGCAGCCGCGGUAAUACGGAAGGUCCGGGCGUUAUCCGGAAUUAUUGGGUUUAAAGGGAGCGCAGGCGGGAGUAUAAGUCAGCUGUUAAAUAUCAGGGCCCAACUCUGUUAUGCAGUUGAAACUAUAUUUCUUGAGUACGCGCAGGGAUGGCGGAAUUCAGGGUGUAGCGGUGAAAUGCUUAGAUAUCCUGAAGAACUCCGAUCGCGAAGGCAGCCAUCCGGAGCGUAACUGACGCUGAGGCUCGAAGGUGCGGGUAUCGAACAGG